CCUCCUUUUCUUGGCACUCAGAGUGUUGCCCGUACCUCUGUGUGAUAUGUACGGAGGUAGAUCAUACCCGGUGCUAUGUCUUCGGUGCUAGCUCGACGCCAUGGGCUGGUUCUAUCCUCAAUCGCUGGGACACGU